AGUAUGUUAGAGAAUACACAUUUGGCCGUGAAAAUAUUAUUAGCCAUGAACAAAACAAACAAUAAACGUUAAAUAAAAUAUAAACAUUUCAAAAAUGUAUCUCAGCACAUAUUAAAAUUUCAUUUCUUCAGUAGCAGUGGUAGGUGGCAGCACUAUUCUAUGUACACAUUAAAAGCAUAUUUCUCAUAACACUUAUUCUGACCACCAAUAAAAGCAAAGAUGUGUGUUUUGAGCAUCUAUACCCAUGUCCAGAAAACAAUCGCUAAAGGGCACAGACACAUACAGGUUUUAUAAUAAAUUAUGUUUCUACAGUAUGAAGUUCACCUUUUUCCACCACUAUUAUCCAAUCUUCUUCAAAAGCUUUAAAUAAAAUCCUCACAAUUUGCGUCUUUUCUGCAAG